CUCCCCACCAUAUCUUCUUCUCGUGCGAAUGAAACCCUAAACAGACUCACCCUUCUUCUCUAUAGACUGAAACACUAACACACUAAAUCGAAGUAGAGUUAUUACUCUCGAUCUGCUUCUCUUCAAAUCUCUUUAUAAUUUCAUGAAAUUAUUAUUGUUUUAUAAUUUCUUGAAUUUUUGAAGAUGAAAACCCAUCAAAAUCUCUUUAGAAAAUUGGAAACCCUAACUUCAUAAUCAAAUCUUGAGUUUUCAGAAUCAACAACAAAUCAACAAAACCCAAUAAUACCUAGGAGUUAUGUUUUCCAUCUCCUACAUAUUCAGAUAAGUGAAUGGAUCUAAUAACUUAGAUUUAUGUUUCAGUUUCUUUUUUAAAUCGAUUAUGAGUUGUUUUUUGAGAUAGUAAUUAUAAUUUUCUUUUUUGUUUAAUUUCAUCAGGUCUUUUGAAAAGAACGGGAAGAGGAGAAACCCUAAAUUCAUCAGCAAGAACUGAUGAAUUCCUUGCUUCUAGUUUCAAAUAAGAAAUGGGUUAAAUCGGUUUUACUUAGUGAAGCUACUCGUUAUCUCUUUGUACAACACCCUUAUCUUUCCUCUGAAACCCUAACCUUGUACGAAAAACCCUGAUAUUUGUAAAUCCUUUGUUUCUCAAUAACUCGGUGGUUUAUUACUCGUCUUCAAACCCUAAUUCUUAUUACACAUGGAAGACGUAGGAAUUCAAUUACUCAUUCAGAUUUUUCUGGGUGUUUUGUGUGGUUUUGAGGCUCGAUCCGUGUGUUUUAGGGUUUGAUUUUGGUCCUUUUGCCGGAGACAUGUUUAUCUGGCAAGCAACAAUAAUGGGUCCCCCAGACAGUCCAUACGCAGGAGGAAUCCAGAUUAUCCAUUUAAGCCACCAAAGGUGGUGUUCACUUCUAGUUGUCCUUGCUGGAGUCUUAUUACGUUCUUGUCAAUUGGGGAGCCAUCUAAAUGACAUUGAUUAGACUGUGAAGUGCUGAGAAAUUGGGGUUGCAAAACAUCCAAGCUUGUAUUAAAAUAGUGCAGUCAUUUAUGUUAGUAUCUCUCCUUCAGCUCACAUCAAGCUUGGAUAUGAUCAUGUUCCCGUACCUCCAAUGUAAACGAAGUUAACUCACUUGUCCAACCAUUUCAAAUAUGAGAUAUUAAGAAGUUAUUUAUUUCCCACUUUUGAAUGUAAAGGUAAGAUUUGGACCUUAAACCUUGAUUGCUGAAGCUCUAUUAGUAUAUUUAAAUUAAUUUCUUUAUCAUAUUAGUCUUAAUCUAUGUAACUCAUGUUACUAGUAGAGAAAAGCAUUGAAUAUAUGUACAAGUUCUCAUUCAUGUAAGCUUUCAACUGUGACAUUGGUUCUUGAGUUGAAGCUUUUUCUUUCAAGUCUUAUUCUGAGUCAAGACUUUAAGAUUAUUUGUUUAUUGAUUUCAACUCCGUAGUUCGACAUUUUUCCUGUUAUUUCAUUCUAUAAAAUCAAUUUUCUUCGUGUUAUCUGACUGCAGCCAACUUUUUCUUGAGAAUUUGCAGUUGUAUUGAUCAAGUAGGGCACUCUUGCAGUGGCAGUGAUGUUCUAAGUGUUUUUAAUAGGUAUAUCAGAGGAGUAGAGCUUAACAUGAAUCUGCAGUUAGCCUUGCUUCUGAUCUAUAGUUUUGUUUUACUGAAUGAGCGGUGGUUGUUGGUGGGGGUGGCCGAGUGGUCAUGCUGGUGUGUGUUAUUUGGCGAUGAGGGAGUGGUACGGUGCUGCUGGUGAUGAUAGACGGCUUGCAUUUGGAAUGUUUAGAGUCCUAGCCUAGGGUAAUUUGGAGUCUUGGUUCUGGUUGAAUCUCAAAUUUCUCAGGGAAGGAAAAAGGUAUUGAAAAUGUAAGCUUUUCUUUUAGGAACUUAAUUGUUUACAAAUGGUGAAUACCAAUUAGACUGAUUGCAUGAUUGUGUUAAUGGAUUAACAUGAAUUGUUGUGUGUUUCGAUGCUUUGAGGGUCUUGGUGUGACCUGGAAGUAUGGGUUUGGAAUUUGUGGAAAAGAAGAAGGUAUAAAAGAGCUUGGACUACAGCAAAAAUGUUAUCUCAUAACCACCAGCCCCAUGCUGGAAAGUUGAUCGAUAAAAUGCCUUAAAGAGAAAAUGGUAGCUUGGAUUUAGUUGCUGGCUAUGUUGGGCUUCAACAUAAACGUCAUGCGUAUUUGAUGCCAAUGCUGGAAUUACUUGAAAUGAUAACUUUGUCUGUGCUCGCCUUAUAUGGUAUGAUGACAAAUCAUAUUGAUUCAUUUGUAUAUAUUUAUUCUCUUGCAACUUCUUGUCUCAUUUUGUUCCGUGAUUUUAUUUAUUGAGAAGUUAAGCUUGUUUUAAUUUGGUCGUACCAGCUUAUGAGUGUUGGAUUUGAAUUGUGCUUGGUUAAAUUUCAUAAUGAAUAGAACAAUUUUUUGGUUUUGGUUAA